AGACGGCCCCUGAGGCCCACACGUCAUCCUCGACUCCGCCGGGGGAUUUCGGCUCGGCUCGGUUCGAUUCGCUGAGCGCGCGAGGCCGACGCUCUCCAAGCUCCUGCGGCUGCGGCGGCGCGCGGGGACUGACGCCUCGGGCCUUCGCGGGGAAGCAACCGACCAUGCCGUCCGGCUGGAAUUCGUGGAACAUCAAUUUUAUCUUCUAUGAUUUGUUGGAGCAGAUAACUGAGGAUGCCAGUUUUGAUGAAGUGCAACUUUGCAGGGGCACAUUUAAAUGGGAAGAAUAAUACCGCCCCAAAGUUCCCCUACUAGUCUGCUACUAUAUGUCGUUGUGGAAGUCAUUUCAUUUUUAUCAUUGCUAUUUUGCUUUUGCUAGAGAUGGCAUAUUUACCUUCCUUGAUACGUUCUCUCAUUAUGCAAGCAUGAAAAUCAUAAUGGAAACAACUUACUACAUUGAUGC